AUUGAACGCUGGCGGCAGGCUUAACACAUGCAAGUCGAGCGGAGAUGAGGUGCUUGCACCUUAUCUUAGCGGCGGACGGGUGAGUAAUGCUUAGGAAUCUGCCUAUUAGUGGGGGACAACAUUCCGAAAGGAAUGCUAAUACCGCAUACGUCCUACGGGAGAAAGCAGGGGAUCUUCGGACCUUGCGCUAUCAGAUGAGCCUAGGUCGGAUUAGCUAGUAGGUGAGGUAAAGGCUCACCUAGGCGACGAUCCGUAACUGGUCUGAGAGGAUGAUCAGUCACACUGGAACUGAGACACGGUCCAGACUCCUACGGGAGGCAGCAGCGGGGAAUAUUGGACAAUGGGGGGAACCCUGAUCCAGCCAUGCCGCGUGUGUGAAGAAGGCCUUAUGGUUGUAAAGCACUUUAAGCGAGGAGGAGGCUUACCUGGUUAAUACCCAGGAUAAGUGGACGUUACUCGCAGAAUAAGCACCGGCUAACUCUGUGCCAGCAGCCGCUGUAACAC
rnacentral:rRNA from 1 species